CCUACGGGAGGCAGCAGUGGGGAAUAUUGCACAAUGGGGGAAACCCUGAUGCAGCGACGCCGCGUGAGUGAAGAAGGAUUUCGGUACGUAAAGCUCUAUCAGCAGGGAAGAAAAUGACGGUACCUGACUGAGAAGCCCCAGCUAACUACGUGCCAGCAGCCGCGGGAAUACGGAGGGGGCAAGCGUUAUCCGGAUUUACUGGGUGUAAAGGGAGCGUUGACGGCAGCGCAAGUCGGAAGGGAAAUCCCAUGGCUUAACCAUGGAACUGCUGUGGAAAAUGUGCAGCUGGAGUGCAGGAGAGGUAAGCGGAAUUCGUAGUGUAGCGGUGAAAUGCGUAGAUAUUAGGAGGAACACCAGUGGCGAAGGCGGCUUACUGGACUGUAACUGACGUUGAGGCUCGAAAGCGUGGGGAGCAAACAGGAUUAGAUACCCUUGUAGUC
rnacentral:rRNA from 1 species